CUCCUUUAAACAUCCAGCUAGAUCUGGGCACUUGUUAUUUAUGGUAGUAUCAAACUGCCUAAAUUCAGGCCUCCAGUGAUAGCUCUUGGCAACCUCUAACCACCCCUGCUUCAAAACAUCCAAACUUUUCCAGCUCUUGUGCCCAGUACAUGCCACAGCCAGGAUUAUAUUUCUGAGAAGGUAUUUUCUACAUGUUCUGUAUAAUGCAAUGUUUAUCACUGAAGAUAAAAUGUAUUCGAGCUUUGUCUUCUUUUAACACACUUUUAAACACGCUAGAUCCUCACCUGAUAUAAAUUAAAAGUAGCUCUGUGCAAAUCGAUGGAAAAGUGCCAGUCUACGCUGGUUAGGAAAUAUCUGUGCAUUAUUAAUCAGGGCUUGGAUAAUGUUCUUCAGCCGGAAGAUAAAUAGCUAAAGAAGAUAUAAACCAAUGAUUAGAGCAAUAGGCCAGAAAUGCAUACUGAUGUGGAAAUGUCUGAGAUGUAAUUGUUGGCUGUGGUAGAGUUUCAUUUCCUGAAGGCCAGGUGGUACCUCCAGGCACAGAAGGUUAACACUGGGAUUUGGGGUCAGCAACCCUCUGCAGGCAGCAUCAGGAGGUCAGAUCUUCAGGUUUGUCUAUGCCUGGAAAUUAACCAAAACAGCUAUUACAGAUAGUCUGGAAUAGCCAUUUUGGUGUGUUUCCAAGUGCAGAUUGCUUUGAAAUGCUAAUGCUUGAAGGCGCUUAGCUUGCUCUUACAGUAAGAAAUAAAGAUAACUAGAAACUUGAAGGAACGGAGGGAUGCUUGGAAUAAUAAUAAUAAAAAGCCAUGUGGCUUUUAUUUAAUUACAAAGGGUAACUGAGCAUCACUGGUUCGUGUGAAGGGACAAGAUGACAUCAUGAGAAAGAGACAUGCAUCUGAGGGCAAGGGCACUGCAGAGAACUUGUGCAGCCAUCACAGUGUCCUGGGCACCUGCUGCAGUAAAGGGUCUAGGAGUAGAAUCAUAGAAUAUCAAAGUUGGAAAGGACUCAUAAGGACCAAGUGGAGCAUGGGGCAGGCCAGUCAGCAAGAACUGGGGGCUCUUUGUCUUUUGGAUAAGUAGCUUCCACCAUUUCAAACAGAUGGGUCUAUCCUAU
rnacentral:lncRNA from 1 species